rnacentral:rRNA from 1 species
UUCUAUUAUCUAAAUAAUUAAUAGUAAAAUCUGCUCAAUGAAAUUUUAAAUAGCCGCAAUUCGUGCUAAGGUAGCAUAAUCAUUUGUCUUUUAAAUAAAGACCGGAACAAAAGACCUAACAUUUUAAUAAAUUUAUUUAAAUUAAUAAAUUUAACCUUUAAAAGUAGUAAAAAUACUACUAUCUCAAAGAAAGACGACAAGACCCUUUCGAACUUCACUUAAGUUUUACUGGGGUAGUAAAUUAAUUAUUAUUUUAAUAAUAUUAUAAUCAACAAUAUCCUAUAUUAUAGAUAAACCAGUUACCGUAGGGAUAACAGCGCAAUUAUUUUUAUAAGCUCUUAUAUAAAAAAUAGAUUACGACCUCGAUGUUGAAUUAAUAACCUAAAUAAGGCAAAUCUUAAAAAAGGAAGUCUGUUCGACUUUUAAAAAAUUACA